UCAGCCAGGCACGUAACCUCCCAGAGACUGUCUGGAGUCUGUCUGAAACUGAUAAAAUUGGAGAUGGAGUUAUAAUUCUCUGGCCACAUGCAUACGAAAUCGUGAAUUCGAAAUGGGAAUCUACAAUCACUUUAAAUCGCCAGAGCCACGACUGAAUAACCACGCAUAACAAAGUGAUGUUUAGGGACACGCUUUGAAAGUUUUUUUUCCAAUGUUUAUCACCAGACAGUUCAUUAUUGCACAGGUAUUUACUCUAGCUGGUCAGGUGUCUAUUUAACAACAUCUAAGAAUGAGCCAAAGUGGAGCAGUUCAAAAGGAGGCCGAGAAGAUGCAGCAUACCAUGACAGCUAGAAAUACUCCUUGUCUCUGGCAAUGUGUUCCCAAUGUGUGUUCACGUGAGAAGAGAUAGCGGCGGGUCUCCACAAGGAAGAUGUCACGCCGAAGACGGGUCCGCACGAUGAUGUUGCGAGUGUCAGCGCGGCGUCGGGGGUUCUCUCUAUGUGCCUUUCUCGACCAUGACGCGUUACCAUAGAGGUAGGGUUGUCUCAGAUGUCAUGAGGAUACCAUGGAAUCAACCUCCAUUACAAAAGGUGAUGCGGAGAAGGAUUUGUGAAUGGACGCUAUGGCCUGUUCCAGAUCACAACACGACUGUGAGACUGUUGCAGAUGUGCCCUAUCCGCACCCCUCCCCCCCUUCCCCCAACUCCGGACACCGUCUCUCCCUAUGAAUGGGAUUGCUGAGAUAUCGGCUAUGUCACCAGGGGUCGGCCCAAAUCCGUCGGCUACAGCUUCCUGUGCCUUUCAAAACGUGAAAGCAUGUCUCGCCAUUUGAAGAUAAUGUGUACUUUUUUUGUGGUUGUGUCCCUGUGAAAAUGGCCUGUUAUGAUAGGCCUAUACUGUAUAUCAUUCGAGCGCAGCUUGAAAGUCAAUGGUCCAGAUAUCAUGACCCCAAACACCACACGUUUGUGGAUCUAUAGCUCAAGCUCGGGCCUAACUAGCGCCAAGAGAAAUAUUGUAUUGCUAUCCCAGUGAGGGAAUCACGGAAGCCAGUGAAGGGCUAUAUGGCUACACUACCCCCACAGAACGACGGAGCGUGUCCCAACGCUUCACUGCACCAGCACUGCCCUGCUCAACUCUCAAUAUCCGAUAGGCUUUGGAGCUGGGAAAGGGGAUUCAAACUCCGGUUGUUUCCCACUUAGCAAGGUUGAAAGUUCGACAGCAAUAGUCUACGUGACAGAUAAUUAGGCCUAAUCUUUACUCUGAUUCUGAUGGCGGGAAAUUAUAUAAUUAAGAGUAGGUAGAUUAGCGCAUAGGUGGUUUAUUGCUAAUGGACACGCAAAUGUUUUUAUUUAUUUGAACAAUUCAGUUUUUCAAAUGUCUUAAUCAUAUGAUCAAUCAUGUGGAUGCAUCAGAUUAGAGUAUGGGAAUGUUUAUAAAGGAAUGUUUGGAUGUCUUCCUGUGAAGGCAGCAAUGCAUGUUUACCACAGUACAAACUACCACCGAAAUAAAUGCCUGCUUGGAUCUAAAUGAAUGAAGGCACAGCGUGCUUUCUGAGAUGUGC